UUAAUAUAUUGCUUAUAGUUAGUUGAACCAGUUGUUUCUCACACACCAGUGCCAUAAUCUAAAGCUGAGAUUGAACACAGAUAGUCAUCCAGGUGCCCUUUGCCCUCUGUAAGCCAUUAAACCUUUUGAAGAGGCAGCUUUGCUGGUAGAGUCGUAAGUGAAAUUUGGACCAAAAGUGAGUUUAUGAAGACUGGUGGGCAGGAGCUCAACAGCUGCAGGGUUGUCCUGCAGCCAGUGUCUGAUGUGCCCCAGCUGGGAAGCUGAUGAAUAGCUGAGAUCUGUAUCUGUGGACCUGAAUGUUGAUCCCUCGCUUCAGAUUGACAUACCUGAUGCGCUCAGUGAGAGAGACAAAGUCAAAUUUACAGUGCACACAAAGACCACACUGCCCACGUUUCAGAGCCCAGAGUUUUCUGUUACAAGGCAACAUGAAGACUUUGUGUGGCUACAUGACACUCUUAUUGAAACAACAGACUAUGCUGGGCUUAUUGAGUGGAGUGGUUGUCUCCUGUGGACCAGCAAGAGUAGAAUGAGGCACCAACUAGAAAACAUCGCUGCUGGGACAAGAGGCUCAUGAGUUCCUGCCUCUGCUGCAGAUUCCACCUGCUCCUACGAAGCCCGACUUUGAUGGUCCUCGAGAGAAGAUGCAGAAACUGGGAGAAGGUGAAGGGUCUAUGACCAAAGAAGAAUUUGCCAAGAUGAAACAAGAACUGGAAGC
rnacentral:lncRNA from 1 species